CCUAUGCUCCCCACCAUCUCCACUACCUUUGCUCCCCAUCAACUCCAACACUUCACCCAUUCCUUCCAUUUCGCACCAGCAAUCACAAAGAGAAGGAAGACUUGGCUUAACUACUUUGCCAAGAUUUCAAGCUGCUCCAGUCCAGUAGUACCCCAACACUCGAAGCUAGAGUUUAUUGGGUGAAAAACCGUGCAUGAGGUCGAGCGCAAGAAUAAGAGCUCGUCAAGGAGUCACUAAUCUGUAGCAAAGCUUUGCUAUCAGGUGGGCAUUACUUUCAUAUAUAUCAAAUGAGUUUAAAUGUUACGUUCAAGCAAGUUAUUUCAUGACUAAAUUAAUUGAAGUUAUUUCAAAUAUUGUCUUGCCAUAAAAUGUUUAAAUUUCAGUAUGAUAUCUAUCUGAUGUGACUUUAAUCAUGUAAUCGAAUUCGGGUCUUGAGCAGUUGAUAGCUAUCCUGCCAGGGCUAGUGUACACCAGUGACCGUGAGUCAUCUAGCGGGUUGGCCGGUCAAGUGACCGUGAGAGGUGGCCACCUCUCCGGCACAAAGUUCCAGAUAUGAUAGAUUACAAGAGAACUUAGUCUGCAGACGAACUUUAAGAAUCACAAAUGAAUUUAGUAAGCUUGGGCCUUUUAGCGAAAAACUCCCUUGCUGUACUGUUUAUGAUGGCAUGACAAUUUACAGUUUUGAAGCAUGUAUUUUUAUAAUUAGGCAUACGUGUCCACUGAGUACUUUUGUACUCAAGCCCUGCAUAUAUUUCUAAAUGUGCAGGUUGAGCAGCUGCCGAUGGUGAUGAAGUGACGAGCGGGAUUCUUUUGUCUUAUUAUGUAUUAAUGAACUCUAGGGUUACAUGUCUUCAUACAUGUAAUCAGAACCUUAUUCCGCUGCGUACUCAGAAGUUUUAUGUUAUUUUGGAUAAGUCGGAGUUAUCCGAACUUGUUAGUUAUUUGAGUCUAUACGACAAAAACUCUGUUAUAUUAUAGAUAUCCAUGUUGUUAACAAUGAUGAAAUACGAUCCUUUCUUGUUUGAUUA